rnacentral:rRNA from 1 species
AACGAACGCUGGCGGCGUGGUUGAUACAUGCAAGUCGAACGGGAAAGAAGUCUUCGGACUUCGAGUACAGUGGCGGACGGGUGAGUAACGUAUGAUCAAUCUGCCCAGAUGACCAGGAUAGCCAUCCGAAAGGAUGGGUAAUACUGGAUAAGCCCACGGUAAGGCAUCUUGACGUGGGAAAAGGAUUGGGAUCUUCGGACCUUUCGCAUCUGGAUGAGAUCAUAACCUAUCAGAUUGUUGGUGAGGUAACGGCUCACCAAGUCUACGACGGGUAGCCGGCCUGGGAGGGUGGACGGCCACACUGGAACUGAGACACGGUCCAGACUCCUACGGGAGGCAGCAGUGCUGAAUUAUUCGCCAAUGCGCGAAAGCGUGACGGUGCGACGCCGCGUGCGGGACGAAGGCCUUCGGGUUGUAAACCGCUGUCAGGGAAUAGAAAACUUAUAUGGUUAAUAGCCAUGUAACUGAUCAUUCCCAAAGGAAGCACAGGCUAAUCUCGUGCCAGCAGCCGCGGUAAAAC